AUGCCGGUGGUGUAGUGGUAACACGGUGGUCUCCAAAACCGCUGAUGCGGGUUCGAUUCCCGCCCGGUAUGCCA
rnacentral:tRNA from 1 species